rnacentral:rRNA from 1 species
AUACUUAGGGUGCAAGCGUUAAUCGGAAUUACUGGGCGUAAAGCGCUCGUAGGCGGCUUGUUAAGUCGGAUGUGAAAUCCCCGGGCUCAACCUGGGAACUGCAUUCGAUACUGGCAAGCUAGAGUAUAGUAGAGGCAAGUGGAAUUCCGGGUGUAGCGGUGAAAUGCGUAGAUAUCCGGAGGAACAUCAGUGGCGAAGGCGACUUGCUGGACUAAUACUGACGCUGAGGAGCGAAAGCGUGGGGAGCAAACAGGAUUAGAAACCCCGGUAGUCC